GGGACUAUCUAGUUCCAGGAAAACAAGCUCAGGGCUCCCAUUGAUUCUACAUUAUGGUGAGUUGUAUAAUUAUUUCAUUAUAUAUUACCAUGCAAUAAUAAUAGAAAUAAAGUGAACAAUAAAUGUCAUGCACUUGAAUAAUCCCAAAACUAUUCCCCCCACCCCAGUCUGGAAAAGUUGUCUUCUACAAAACUGGUCCUUGGUGCCAAAAUGGUUGGGGACUGCUGCAAUCUAGAACAUUGCUCAUAUCAGCAAGUCCAAAACCAAACCAAGCUCACUGCCUCCUCAACACCUGUUCUGCCUCUGCUAGACUGUAACUCAGUUGAUGAUAUUUCCAUUUGCUGUUCCACCCAAGCCAGGGAUCUGGGAGUCAUCAUUCCUUCCUUCGUCUCCCACCCAACCACCCCCCAAGGUUAAGUUCAACCCCUAGAUUUCCCCUGAGUGACCUACAACUGUAUGGCCACUGACAAGUCCCAUAAUUAGAGCCCUGGCCCUCCAGGGCCUGGCUCACUUUAAUAGUCCCCUGACUAGUCUAGACUCUGCCUUUCUCUUUCCCCCUUCUCUACAUCCUACCAUAGGGAUCUUUCCAAAGCACAAAUCUGAUCCUAUUAUCUCCCUGCUUCCAUCCUUCAGGGGCUCCUGUUCCUGCUCCUGUCCUGCCUCCCAGUACAGCCUUACCUCCUGCACUUCCAUUCACCCUUCUCACUCUGCAGUUCCAGACUACUUGGAGUGAGUGGGCAUCAGAGCUGGAUGCUGCAGGGUAGCCAAGGAGGGAGAGAAGACGGAGAAAAACUGAUGAUUCAGGAAAGAUGGGUGGCAUUGGGAACCUCGCAGGAGCAGAGUCCCAGAG
rnacentral:lncRNA from 10 species